CAAUAGCGUAUAUUAAAGUUGUUGCAGUUAAAAAGCUCGUAGCUGGAUUUCUGGUGGGAGCGAUCGGUCUGGCGCUUAGCGCGAGUACUUGCAUCGUCUCCGGCCAUCCUUGGGGAGAGUCUGUCUGGCAUUAAGUUGUCGGGCAGAGGAUCCUCAUCGUUUACUGUGAAAAAAUUAGAGUGUUCAAAGCAGGCUUAUGCCGUUGAAUAUAUUAGCAUGGAAUAAUAAGAUAGGACUUUGGUACUAUUUUGUUGGUUUGCGCACCAAAGUAAUGAUUAAUAGGGACAGUUGGGGGUAUUCGUAUUCCGUUGUCAGAGGUGAAAUUCUUGGAUUUACGGAAGACGAACUACUGCGAAAACAUUUACCAAGGAUGUUUUCAUUAA
rnacentral:rRNA from 1 species